rnacentral:rRNA from 2 species
UGCAGUCGAGCGACUGAUUAGAAGCUUGCUUCUAUGACGUUAGCGGCGGACGGGUGAGUAACACGUGGGCAACCUGCCUGUAAGACUGGGAUAACUUCGGGAAACCGAAGCUAAUACCGGAUAGGAUCUUCUCCUUCAUGGGAGAUGAUUGAAAGAUGGUUUCGGCUAUCACUUACAGAUGGGCCCGCGGUGCAUUAGCUAGUUGGUGAGGUAACGGCUCACCAAGGCCACGAUGCAUAGCCGACCUGAGAGGGUGAUCGGCCACACUGGGACUGAGACACGGCCCAGACUCCUACGGGAGGCAGCAGUAGGGAAUCUUCCGCAAUGGACGAAAGUCUGACGGAGCAACGCCGCGUGAGUGAUGAAGGCUUUCGGGUCGUAAAACUCUGUUGUUAGGGAAGAACAAGUACAAGAGUAACUGCUUGUACCUUGACGGUACCUAACCAGAAAGCCACGGCUAACUACGUGCCAGCAGCCGCGGUAAUACGUAGGUGGCAAGCGUUAUCCGGAAUUAUUGGGCGUAAAGCGCGCGCAGGCGGUUUCUUAAGUCUGAUGUGAAAGCCCACGGCUCAACCGUGGAGGGUCAUUGGAAACUGGGGAACUUGAGUGCAGAAGAGAAAAGCGGAAUUCCACGUGUAGCGGUGAAAUGCGUAGAGAUGUGGAGGAACACCAGUG